CACGGGGGGGAGCAAGCGUUGUUCGGAAUCACUGGGCGUAAAGGGCGUGUAGGCGGUCAAGUAAGUGGAAUGUGAAACGCCUCGGCUUACCCGAGGACCUGCAUCCCAAACUGCUUGGCUUGAGUAUGGGAGAGGAUGAGGGAAUUCCUGGUGUAGCGGUGAAAUGCGUAGAUAUCAGGAGGAACACCGGUGGCGAAAGCGCUCAUCUGGCCCAAUACUGACGCUGAGGCGCGAAAGCUAGGGGAGCAAACGGG
rnacentral:rRNA from 1 species